GAACGCACCUUGCACUCUUUGGUAUUCCGAAGAGUAUGUCUGUUUGAGUGUCAUGAAAUUCUCAACCCCCUUGUUUUGUAAUGAAACGAGCGUGGGCUUGGAUUAUGGCUGCUGCCGGCGUAAUUGUCGACUCGGCUGAAAUACACGAGCUACCCAUUUCUAAGAAAUAGACGGUUUGACUCGGCGUAAUAACAUAUUUCGCUGAGGACGUCACAUUCUUUAAACAUUAGUGGUGCUUCUAAUGCGACAUCUAAACCUAAGCUUUAGACCUCAAAUCAGUCAGGACUACCCGCUGAACUUAAG
rnacentral:misc_RNA from 1 species